rnacentral:snoRNA from 2 species
UGUGGAGUGAAAGUGGCAUAUUGUAUAACCAUUAUUUGCUCUGUGUCUCAACUGCUCCCAAAGCAACUUCUUUUCGAGAGACAAACGGCAUCCUGUCUAGUGGAUCAUACUAAAACAGAUGACUUGUGUUUGUCUACAGU